rfam:TPA: Bos taurus chromosome 17, whole genome shotgun sequence.
UCCCUGGUGGUCCACUGGCUAAAGACUCUGAGCUGCCAAUGCGGGGGGCCCAGGUUCAAUCCCUGGUCAGGGAA